AUCAUAAUUCCUUAUUGAUCCAAACUUCACUAAUAAGCAUGGAGCAGGUCUGUAAAGUAGCUGAGACCAACCCAGAGAGGAUGAUGGGAAACACAGUGGCGUGGAGAGUACGUCAACAGCCUGAAGAAGUGUUUACAUUACAAAGACCACUGUACCAGCUAAAUACAUACACUGAUAAACAGAUUGUGUUUGAUCCCAGAGUGCGUAUUGAACAAGCGCAAGACAGAUUCUAUCUGAGCUCCAACCUCUAAAGCAAAGCCACCCAGACGAGACAUGGAGUCCGCUGCCUUCAGAUCCUGACCAAUAAUUAUAUGAAUGUAAACUUCUUUUCACAUAAAUGAGUCAUGCUUUGUCCUCCU
ensembl:lncRNA